AAAAAACCUCAAAUAAAACCUGGACAGGAAUAUAGACAGACAGCUAUAGAAGUGCAUCUGAACUGAAUCAUAUGUACUGCAGUAGGGGAUGAGCAGAAAAAAUAGAUUGCAUAUUUAUAAUUAGAAUACAUCCUUAUCUCUCUCUUUUGAAAUGUUGCAGCUUUCUUGGAAAUAUUUUGAGUGCAUAUUUUAAGCUCCAUUCUCCUGAACUGAAUUAGAUGAGGUGUUUCACCAAGGAGUAAAAUACUUGUUUGCAAUUUAAGGUUUAAGUUUCAGCCACCUAUCCAUCUCUGUAUCAUUCGCUUUGUCUUUUCUUUUUCCUUGUGUUCGCAGACCUUAUGUAAAACGGUGUUUGUUUGUAUCAAAAUCUAAUUUCUCCAUGCAAGAAAAUAGUGAAUGUUAUUCAAAACAACCCCCAGUGUUUGACUGAGGUAAAUUGGAUGAGAAUUUUUCACAUGCAAAGAGUUAAAGCUGAACUGAAAACUUUAAAGCAAAGGGAUAGCAGCAAACAGUGAAAAAUGGCACGUCUGCUCCCUCUGACAAGCUUGCACUACAUCACAUGUUAGGAAGCACAGUUUUUUGAAUCUAAGACCAGUUUUAGUUUUUAAUAGGAAAUAAUUACAUGGAACUUUAUUUCCAGAGAGAACGUCCCUUCCAGCUACAGUGUUUUGCUUUGAUCUGAGCAUUAACUGGUAAUAAAAUAACCAUAUUUUGGAUCCUAAGCAUAUUGAUGCUUAAAGGAAUGUUAUGCUUUCAAUCAAACUCUAACGUCAGAUUAUCCAAAGGUAUUCAUCCUCCUUUUGUCAGAAACCAAUUUGUUCUUUUACUCCCGCAGCCCCUCACACGUGUUUUUGUACAUUUUGGCAUUUCAUAGCAGAAUUUGCACUGUCGAGGUGGAAAACUUGUACACGGAGUGAGAUCACGUCCCAGCCCGGCAAUCAGCGCCGUGUCCCACGCAGCCAUGUGUGUGGCUGUGGCUGUCCCUUACACUUACACACCUCCAUCGCGCCACUACUGUGAAUGCGUAUUUAGUUUUAAAUCCCUCAUUUUUAUUGUUUUCGUUAUUUUUUACCUGGAGAAUCAAUCACUGGGAUCCAUCCCAAACAAUUAACCUCCCCUUUAUAUGAUGGACCCAAGCGCAGUGCUUCAUAAAGCCAUGAAAAGGACAUCCCAGACACCAGGACCCGAGCCCAGGCUUGUCACGGAGCAUAAAGGGAGAGCCAAGGGGAGGUUUUAUCUCUUUGCCCCACCAACUCUCGCUAGUUCUAAGUUUCAGUGUGACAAUAAACCAGUUUUGAUAAGGCAGCUCAUGGAUUUCUCUGCCACAUAAAGUUUUCUUAAUAAUAAAAAAGAAGAAACUUUAUCCCCGCUAAAUUAAAAUAGGGCAGAUGUUGGAUAUGGUUCAUAUUAGCCAGCCCUUCACCCCUUUGCCCCUGGCACUAAAGUCCUGACUCUUGCUUUAUUCCAUGUCUGUUUCUAACUGGAAGGUAUUAUUCCUGCCCUUGCUCUCUUCUCGUAUUUAUUUUUUCAGCGUCUAAAAUUAAACCUAUUCAUUUAGCAACAUACGUUCUACUUUGGAUUGCUAAACCUGUCCAGAGAGGGGAAACGUUUUCCAAAAAGUGAUGCACCGCUGACCUUAAAACAAAACAUAAGGCAGGGAAAGCUGCUCUUAAAAGGUUUAUUUCUAGAGAGUUUUGUAGCUCUGUUGACGUUACAGGGAUAAUGGCUGUAUUGCAACGGGCUUUCAAGGCCCAAGAGGUUUAUGUUUGCUUCUGACCAGAAGUAUAAUAAUGUUUUAAAGGUGCAGGAAGUCUCAUCACUUUUCAGAUAUUUAAAACAAGAUUGAAAAAAAAACCCUUGGGAAACAUAGAUGAUGUUGGGCGGUCCUGCUGAGAAAGAAGGGCACAGACAAACUAAAAAAACAACCACCCCCCUGAAAACCCAAAUAAAAAUCAAUAUUAAAAAAUCCCUAGCUUUGCCAGCUUUUCCCUGCUAGCUAUAUGAAAAUCCUGGCUAUUAAGCUCCUAGGAUAGUACAGCUCUUUUCUCCAGGGUUGCAAAGAUAGAAUUUAUUGUCCAUUUGGAGCGCUCAAGUUUAGGCUAAUAAAAGGCCCUCUGUAAGCAGAAAUGCCAAAGUUGAUGUUUGGCGUAGCUCUCAAUGGUGGAGUUUAUAUAGGAUGGGGCUCUGUGCUACUUAGAAUUACUCAUAUCUCAGCAGCUGAAGAUGAUUUGACAUACAGGAGUAAAUGAUAGUAGGCGAUGGCUGGAGGUUAAUCAGCCCGCCUUUCUGAACUGGGCAUUUGAAAGCAGGAAAAAGUGAAAGCUGCUCUCUCUAUCCCUUUCCUUUUCUAAGGCACUGCUAACUUUUAUGAUUUUUUUUUUCCUCUUUCUCUUUUACUAUCUGUCUUUGUGCCUGAGGGCCAGUGAAAGAACACUGCAGAUUCUAGAUUGCUUUCAGAGUUUCCCUUUGCUGAUGAUGGAUUACCAUGUCAAUUUAAACGGCAUAGGAUUAAUUUGUUUCAAUGAUUUCUCUUUAGGCUGAAUGCCAGUCUUUUUUUCUAUCUCUUUCCUUGCUCUUCAGAAUAAUAAUAAUAAUAAUAAUAAUAAAUCCUUAAAAACCCCAAACGCUUUUGAUAUCCCACGUUAAAAAGACAAUAAUAGAAAUAGACAAGUUAGGUGUAAUGUUGCAACACAGUUAUAGGUUUGAGUGUUUUUAUCUCAUUUUAAGGGGCUGAAGCAUACAGUCAGUCACAUUAAAAUGAAAUUGGAUCCAACGUUUAUUCAAUAAAUACUUGUCUUGUAGGUAAUCCAGAGCAGAGUGCUUUUGACACAUAAGGACUUAAUUUGUCUUGGAUAACAAGUUAUUAAUAUGGCACAUUUAAACUUGCCACCUACAAUAAGGUCAUUUAGAUCUAUAAUAUGGCUCAUGAGGGAACUCCAUAAAGCCAGAAACAAAGUUAGGGACCGCCCUCGCACGGUGCAGCUCCCAAGUCAGCGUGUGGCUCAGGCUUUGCUCUUUCCAAAGAAAAUUCUGAGCGGGAGGACCGAUCCAAACCCCAACGGUUCACACCUGCUCCUCCCUGACAGGUGAGCAGAAAUAGGGAGGGAGGAGGAAAAAACCCAAACACACCUUUUCUGAAUGAGUAAUCUCGAAAGCCGUGCUGCAUCUGCAGGCAAACUCAUUGCAGUGCCGAGUGAAAGAAACAACAUUUGGUUCCGAGGGGAAAUUCGCCUGCGUUUGUACUCUGCCUCGUCCACGUGCUCUGUGAUUUUCUGGCUUUUAAUAAUAAGUGAGGAAGUUGGAACAUAAUCCACCCAUAAAUGUUACUGCUGUAAUUUGACUGCUGUGUUUGUUCGCGCAUUAGCCAUAUACAGAAAGAGAGGUGGGGACGCGUGUUGGCGGUCCUACCGCAGCCUGAACAAACAGAGGUCUUUGGGUAUAGAUUGGAUUUCAGACCCCCAAUACUUUGUGAUCGCUUUAAAAUUUGGAAAGCUGGGGAAGAGGUGUUCAGUUUCAGACCCGUCCUCAUUGAACCACGUCUGCUAGAGUCCCAUGGGGACAGGAACCCAGUGGGCAUGCUGUAUGGAUGUGGUUUGACGCCGGCGAUGCCUUCCCUGCACUGCAUGUGUGAGCCUUGCUGUGCUGCUGCUUGAUGUGAAGUUCUUGAUUGCUCUUGCCCUGGCAGAUUCUGUCUCUUUAAGUAACUAAAUCUCAUUUUUAAGCUCUUCCUGGGAAAAGGAUGUUACACAUGAGUAGAAAAAUGCAGGCAAGAAAGGCUAAUUGAAUGAAAAGGGAGAAUUACGUUAAAAAUAGAGUACAAUCUAGUAUCACAUUUUCACUAGUGUAACCUGAAAUGAAGGUGUCUCCGAGUCCCUAGUGAUGCCAGAGUGUUUAGAUGUUGGGCACAGAUGGAGACACCUAUUGAAAUGUGUCUGAAGAAGAUUAAUAGGACUUGUCAGUGUUGGGAAAGCACUGCUUUGCUGUAAAUUUCUACUAGCACAAGAUGAAUUACCGAUGAAUGCUCAGUUAUCAACCCCAUCACUAUCAUUGGACACUAAAUCAAAUUGAGCAGUUAUCUACAAUCAGAAAAUUUCUUUUAAAAAUAGGCAUACACCUUAAGGCUUAAACUCUUUAAUAAGACAAUAGCCUCUGUGGUAUGUGUGUGUUCACGAAGGGAUGUAGCUGAAAGUUUCUACACAAAAAGCUUCUGUUCUGAAACGAACUCUGAGUUUAGUGUGAAAUCGGGCUUGUCGAACAAUAGGAAAUAUUCAGAAAUCCUGGUGGUACAAUAUAAGUUCUGCCAGGGGCCAGAUGCACGCCCCUGGAUUUUGGAUCGGGCCCUAUUUGUGAAUGGCUUUUUGUCAGGGCUGCUUUCUCUUUAUUUUUGGUGAUGAUAAAAAAACUUCUCUCUACCUUAAAGACUCAGCAUCCUAAUCAUAUAUUAAUGCAAAAUAGCUGUCAAGACACAGGGUGUAAGUAUAAUGAUAACAGCCCCCCCCAGCAUAUUUAGGAAAUGACAGCUUAAUAUAAUGAAAUACACGAUGAAAGAAUAAAUGAAUAACUCUGAAGCUAGGAAUAUUUCUUUUUACUCUUCUACAAAAGGGGAAACUGUCACAAGCAAAACUACGGCGAGCGUUCACAGCCCCGUGGUACCGCAUAUUAGCUGCAUUCACCAUGUGACGCCGCUGAUGACAAUGACAUUAAAUAAGCACUAUAUAUUUUUAGUUUCUAGGACUUCUCUUCCUCUCACUCAGGCACAGCACCGCUUUAUCCAAGGAGAUUUAUCGCAGCAUGUUUUCAGGAGUCAAUUUUUCCCAUUUAUUAUAGACAAGGGCAGUCAUUUAUGUAUAGGGAGGGAGACAGGUACAGUGCUGUUAUCUGAUCGGUGUCCCCAGCACAGCCACCAUCCUAAUGGAUGGUAAAUUCCCACUGUGUGGGAUCGGGCCCUGCCUGGGCUCCGCAGCCCAGGAAUGCAUCCUCCCCAUCUCCUCCACAUAUCUCACCUGUGAUGUGUGCUGCUUUGUGAGGAGGGAAUAAUGUGCCACUUACCACAAAGCACGGCUUCAAAUCCUUUGUGUGUUUUGCAUCCCCAGCUUAUUAUUUACCACCUUAAAAAUGUGACUGGGGAAGGGACAGCAGCCGUUAUCACCUUUAUUUUUACACCCACAUUUUUGGGCAGCAAGCACCCUGUAUUCGGGCCGGAUUCUCACUCGGAUGGAAGUUAUUACCUUCUGGCAGAACGGAGCCGAUCUCAGCCAGCCGCAGCCCAUGCCCUGCUCACACGGGCUCUGCAAAGCAUCCCCUUGCUCAUUUAUUUCCUUUGGAGGGUAUGAUUCCUUGAACGUGUUCGCUCUACAGAGAGCAGCGGUCAGUUUCUAACUUUAUUUUCCCCCCAACAAACACAGUCAGAGAAUAUUAACAGGGGAUAUUAAUAGAGCUGAGUGCGGCAUGGUGCUAGUUAGGUGUAGUAGCUGAGAAAUAUGAACUAGUGAGCAUAAUCCAUAAACUCCAUUUGGUUACUAUAAUACUCCAAUCUGUAUUUAUUACAACCCCACUCUGAUGCUUAUACAACAGCAAUUGCUAGAUUUAUACACUCUAAUGGUUUCACAAUAGGAAAAACCUGUGUUCUUUAUCUUUCUUUUCCUGUCCAAAAUAACCCCUUCCACAUAUACUUCAGGCUUCUCUGGACCUUGUCUGGGUUUAAUCACAGGCUGUGGGACAAAAUGUGCAUUAUUAAGAAAUAUAAAUAUUUUCAGAAGCAAUCAAAGGGUUGAAAGAUUGAUUCGGCAUGUAGAUUGGAUUUAAUUCGAAGCAGCUUUGUUCUAAUGAGUACUACUGGGAUACAAAGACAGCAGCCGCUUAUGGCCACCAGUUGGGAGCUUGGAUUCGCGGCAGUAACCUGUCAAGAAUUUCACCCAAUUGCCAGGUAUUAAACAGCAGAAUUUUGGGGAAGUUGAUGUCCAGCCUCCUCCAUCAGAGGCUGGAAUAGGAUUUCAGAGUUCCUAUUUUGCCGAAAUGACAAUUAAGGAUGAUUUCUUUGCGUAAGAAGGUGAUUUUUUUUUUUUUUUUCCCCUUGCAAAAGUGAACUGUAGCUCACUGUUGGCUUGGAAGAUCACAUCCUCGCUGGGAGACCCAGCAGAAGCGCCUUCCUAGCCCUGCUUCCCUCAGAAAAGCCUGCAGCGUCCUACAAAACAACCUCAAAGCUGAGAAAACGGGACAAUUUGCUGCUUUACCUUCAGAUUAAAAAAAACAAAACAAAACAAAAACCCAACAAAAACCUAAAAUUUCAAUGUUUGAAGCAGGGGGCCACGUCACAGGUACUUGGGAGCGCAAGACCCUGGAAACUCUCCUAAACGUCGAGCGUACAGUUGGAAUCACAGCACAUACAGGAUCAAACACCCACUAGUUUCUCUCUCCCCGUAGCCCCCCCUUGCCUACUUUUGUCCAUAAAAGCAAUAGAAGGAGAGAAAGCUUGAAUUUUCUGAACUGUUUCACCCAUCCACAGCUGGAAUUCCAAAGUGAAAUGAAAAUGCCUUUAAAAUCAACCCUACAUGGGAGCCUGAGAGAACAAGUUUUCCUUUGUUGUAGGGUAUAGUAUUAUUUGCUGUAGGUUUUUGAUAUACAUUCUAAAUUAGGCCUGCAAAGGAAUGCUUCAUCUUUAAUUCAUCACUCUCAGCUGAAAGAGAUUAGCAAUGUCUAGCACGCACCCUUCGUAUGGUGCUGACCUCAUCAAGUAUGGCCUGAAAUUAAUUAGCCUCAUUCAUUCCAAAUGGAAAAGGAUAAUGGAGCUGCAUUUUAGAGAUGACCAUCACAAAUUGUAUGCAGCAUAUUUAAAAUCCCUCCCCCCUCACUCCCCUCCCCAUUUAAAAAACUAUGUAGAUUAAAAUUCUUUCCAGAACUUGCAAUAUGUCAGCGUUAUCAAGGCAUCGGGAGCAGAAACCGCUCCGUUUUUAUUUGUGGAACUGGGAGCCACAUUUUGUAUGUGUGGCUGUAAAAGCGGCGAGUCUGUCUUGAUGGCAGAACACCUGGAAUUAAUUUGAUAUUUCCAGGUGCUCUGGAAAACCGAGGCAUCAAGCACUUGAUGUUUAAACAUUCUUCCACCCGCUCGCUUAAAUCAAUAUGAAAGUGGUGUCCCUUUGUCAUUCAUACAUGCAAAGUGCUAGCACAAACUCCAGCUUGGCUUCAGAGUCCUACAUCACUCAUAAUCUAAUUAGAAAUCAGAGCAGAGCUGAAGCAGCAUUCUUUGUGGAUUCUUGGGCAGCAAAUAGGGAUACUUGUCUUUUGUUUCCCUCCCGGAUGGCAUUGUUCACAAGCUUUCACACCACAUCUCUAAAGGUGGUUAGGUGCCUCAAGAUGUUGACAGCCCUGAAGGACAAGAUUAUUUAGGUAUUUAGGUGCCAACCCUGGGUGAUUUCAAACAGAAUCAAGCAACUGAACGUAACCGGGGGGAGAAAUAAAAGAAAAAACAUCCAACGUGAAUGAAAAGCUCUAAUCUAAAACACAACCGAUGUUUUUCCGCGGUAAAAUUGCCUGCAGGGUUAUCCUGCUGAAGUUUGCUGAUUCUACCAUGGUCAGCAAGCUCCUGGCUUCAGGCAGUGCCUCGGGGGCUGGGCACCACGCUGCCCUCUGCUCUGGUCAGUUUCUCAGAAACAGGGAACACAGCAAAGAACUCAAGCUUUCCCACAGGAUUUUGGAAGAUGCCAACGACUCACAAUGGUGAGAUCUGGGCCAAAAGCAGAUUCAACCUGGAUUCCUCCUUCUGUGCACUCCUCUUGUGAGCAAUGACUGCUGAUGGACCCCAGCGAUGUGUGCUUUUCCCUCUGCCUGCUCCCCACCAUCAGAUCAUCAGGAGGGACUGAGAUAAUUCUGUGAGAUGAACUACCACAAGACACUGUGCUUAUAGGGACCAAACACGUGAAGACAGAGUUGAUGGAUCUGGAGCCCUGACUGCUGCCCGGCAAUGGUUCAGCAUGGACUGCUCUCAUCCUGGCUGCUCUUCAACACUACGUUGAGCUGCAUGAAGACCUAAGAACCAAGCCAACAGCAAGAGCAUGACCAAGAAUCUGAGAACCAACCUCGCACCAAGUGCAUGACCAAGUUUACUCCUCUUCCAGACCAUACCUGAAACAUGGCAUGAAGUUUCAUUCUGUUCUUCUGCAGGUUCCUGAUGCCAAAGGUCUGACCUUACAAUGAGCAGCACACAGGGUGAGAUCGGGCACUGCGCUGAGCUUCACACACAGCUAUUUUGAUCAUAAACUCGGGCUUGCAGAAAUCUCUGUCUGCAGGAGAGGCUCAGCCAGGCUUACUACUACAUCCCGACCCUUGUUAAUGCACAUACUUCCAGCCCUGAUGCACUGGGACCACCGCUGCCGGCCAAUUUCCAGCAAGAUCUUUGUUGCCUAGAUCCUGCCAACAACCAGGGAACAAGUGCAAGCCAGCAGAGAAAAUGAACGACCAGAAGUACCAGGAUCCUGCCAUCCUAUCCUCUGCUGUCAGGUUGGGGUCACAACUACCAUUUGGAGAAGCAACUUCCAUGGAGAUAUGAACAGAAUAUGAAUACAAUUCUGUGUAAGUGGAUUUUUGUUCAGUUUUAGUUUAAUGCGAUGUAUAAAGUCUGUACAAAGUCUGCUGUUAAGCCCAGCCUCGUCACGAAAAUGCAUUUGGUCACUACACGUUCAAUUCCAUAAUGCAUACCUGUGUACCAUACUAUAGCAACACCUACUCCAUUUAUAUAUUAAAAUUAUUUUACCAGGUCAGCCCUUUGACAUUUCACUUUCUUUUGUAAAAGAUUCUAUGGCACAAAUCAGUUGUGCUAUCUCUCUACCUUCUGAUCAGUUGGCAGAUUUUCUUAAGGCUAUUUUAACUUAUUGUAACAUUUCUCUACUUUCUUAUUUGAGUAAUAGAGCCUUUCACAAGCAUAUUAUGACAUAUAACAACUCUCAAAAACCAAAUAGAUACUCAUUAUCAUUUUCUCUUAAGUAUUUGCAAGUUCUGGGUUAUCUUAUGCAACCUUUACAUGUUAGCUAGCGUUUUACCCUUUGGUAGUUUUGCUCAAUUACAGAAGGUUAUGAUAAUAUACAGAUGUGUCUUUGUAGAUUUCUUUACAGAUGAUAUCAAUGAAAUGUUCUGAAGUCUAGUAACUACUCAAUACUAGUUUAUAUGGCCCUCUUUGCUCCUACUGCUGCUUUGAACCAACUUAUUUAGUCAUUUUGACUUUACUCAGAUGCAUUCCUUCCUGCUGCAACAGCAGUUAUACAGGAUGUUUGAAACCAUGCAGUCAUUUCCAUUCUGGAUUUCAUGAGGGUUUAUUCUUGUCUGAGUGAUGAAUCAUACAUACAUCCCUCUGUGGAUUCCAGGUGAGUUACUCACACUAGGUGCUUCCAAGUAAUACACAGAAAGGUGCUGAGAAAAUGACAAGUCUGCCCAGUCAGAAAGCUCAGCAAAGGUAGAUCAGAGAAAAAUGCCCUUAAAAUUUUUCUAGGGGAAACCCAGGACCAAAAAGCUUUGCCUUCAAAAAAGCAUGACAAGCAGGGAGGUGGAGUUCGUGCAUUACUGACUGACCAACGGCUGCUCCCUGUCCUCAGAAAUAGAUCAGGAAAUAACUGAAAGUACCUGGAGAUAUCAAAAGGAUAAUUAAGUUUCAUUGUGAGAAUAAGAAGGUAAUCUGUCUAGACAAAUCUAGGGCCUAGUAUUGAAAACUGUAGUAUCUGAAUAAAAAAAAUGAGUAAUUUUGAAUAAAGAUGUCUAUCAGGACUGUAAAUUCAGAGGGUAAAAAAGUAGCUUUGCUUAACAGACCAUCUCUCCAUCUUCCUCUGACUCAUUUUCUUGUUCUAUUUCUUCCUUUUGUGUUCUUGGGGGGGAAAAAAAAAAAACACAUGUAAAAUCUGAUACUGAGAAUGCUUUAGCUUCAUUUCAACCUUUUCUUCUCAAAAGGUUUUGUUCCACUGGGAAGAUUCCCCCUAGCUCAGCCACAGUGGAGGAAGCCUUGCAGAGCCAUCUGCAGACAGAACAGCUGUAUUUUGAGGGGUUCUCCAAAGCAGUCAGGACCCUGUUCUUGUGGAGCUCUCAAAAAUGCUUUUGAACUGGCAUGAGAAAUCACCUGGGACCCAGAGCAGAGCACAGGGUGCAUAGGACAGUAUUUCUUUUGUGCCUUUUUUGCUGAGCAGAACUGCUGCACUAUAAACAAAUGUGAGUUUUGCCUCAUUCUUAGAUAGUGUGAGUUAUGAAAGCCCACUCCAGACAUAAUGAAUGUAUAGAUCAUUUUGACCAGAUCAUAAUCUAUGAGUAAAUAAUGUUCUCUGAAAACGUAUAGGUGAAAUAAAGAACUUGCUACUAUUGCUCUAUUGGUAUCAGGGAUUACUGAUGAGGCCAACAUAGGUCUGAAUCUUUGUGCUGGAGUUUAUAUACAACGUAGAACUAAUGACAGGGUUUGGCUAGCAAAUUCCAUCCCAGAUUGGGAUAUUCAGGGAUUAUACAGCUGCAAACAGAACCUACACAGAAUUUUUCUGUCUCUAGACUUUAUCACAAGCCCCAAACUCAGAUUGACCGGCAGACACACAACAUUUAUAGAACUUUUCCAUUAGGCUCCCCUGAUUUUGGUAGUGAUAAUUAAUAAGCAAAUCCCACAGCAAUUUUCAAAAGGAGCAGGACUCCGGUGCACCUAGUCUAACACCUAUAACACCUUCACUGCACAAAAUAAGCCUGAGGACACCACGCUGAGGACCCAAUGGCUGGCUGCUAUCACCAUAGGAGACUUAGUUUUAAAGAAGCUGGCACUUAAGUGACAUCUGUGUGUAAUGUGCUGCCCUAUCCAGACACUGGACUCCAUGUAUUGUGCCCUAAAACUAGAGAGGAAGUCACUGGGAAAAAAAAAAAAGGAAAAAAACACGAGGGAAUAAAAGUACUUUUGAAAGAGAAGAAAUCUACAUUUCAAUGAAAAUCCUUUCAAGGCAUUUCAAAUAAGAGUCUGAGAGAAAUAAUUACAAAGUUUGGAGAGAAAGAACGUUAGCUUUGAUAUCUUUUUCUUCUAUGAAGCAAUUAAAAUAAGCAAUUUUUCAAAUACUAAGCAGAAAAUUACUAAUGGCUGAACCCAAAAGCUUUCAUUUCCUUCUUGGGGCCUUUAUUCUUCUAAAAAAAGACAAAAAAAUGUGAAGGUGGUUUUCCAGAUAGAUUAAUGCAUAAAGCAGUCGCUAGUUGGAUGUCAUAAAAACUACAGCAGCAUAGAAUAGCUGAGAUUAAGAGCUAGAUCUAAAUCAUGCAACAGUCCAGUUAAUAUCAAUGUCUAAUUAAGAAAUGCAUAAGAAGUCUGUAAUGUUGAUUUGAUGGAGAAAAACUCUAAUAGGGUUUCUUUUGGAAUUUUCCAUUUCAAUUGCUGUGUAGACUUUUAAUGGAUGUCCUCUCCAGUCUUUGGUAUUAGCAGGAAUCAUCCUCAAAUUAAAACCAGGGCCUAAAAUGGAACACAGGUAGACAAAUUAGCUUGUCUGGGAAGCAGUCCGAAUAGCAUGACAAUGUGAGCUCAACCUGAAAUUUUAGUACAAAUAGAAGAGAACAAAUGUCUCAAAUCUGGUGUGGAAACCCUAUCUGCUUAUCGUUUAAACAAUUUAAAAACCCUGUAAUUUCAAACAAUGCAAUGUAACCUGUUUCCUCACCUCCCUCAGCCUGCCAAAAUAUGCAGAAAGCCGCAGACCAUUAGGAAUUAUUAAUUAGCCUUUUUAAAUUGGAAGACCUACUAUAGCCAUGUAGUCUUUCUGUAGCCAUUCAUGUUACUGUCACCUAAAGGUGGGCUCUUCUUGGCUUGUAACAGCAUUUAGAACACGUGGCUCCCUACCAUCAACGCAGCAAUUAGUCUCCCACUCCCUUCUGGGUAACUAACACACUCAAACUUUGAGCAAAAAUGAAACCUGUGGCAUCUGUCCCAGAUUAUCCAGGAUGUUUGGUCUCUAGGUAUGAAAGGAGAACUGGUUUUACAUUGUGUGUCACAGAUACCCUGAAGUUGUUAAGUUACAAGCAGUGUAACUGUUAGCGUGCAUAAAUCCUCACAGCAAAGAGGGAGAAAGCAUAGCACUGGCUUAAAGCAGCAGUGUGUUUGUUAUCUCCACUUUGUUGUUGACCCAGCAAAUCCGGGGGGAAUUAUCUCAAGAAUCCAGGAAGACAGCAAACUCAAAAUAAGCCCUAUGACCUAAGGAGCAAGCACACGAGGGAGUCAUUUUUAAGUUCAUUAGAGCACAUUAAAAUACAAUACACUGACCAUGGUAAAGGCAAAGCAUAUUAUUCCUUCUGCCCACAUAUUUCUUUCAAGUACUAAAUCCAUCUAGAGUCCUUUCAGAAUCAUACCAUAAAGCCUUGCCACUUCACUUUACAAGCAAAGCGGAAAAGACCAGAGGUAAAAUCAGAACAACAGUGAAAGUUUGGCACUUCCAAAUUGCUGUCAUUGCCUGAAAUGUCACAGUCUAAAUCCUUAUCUGGCAUUUUUCCAUUGAUCAAUGAGGUACAGAUGCUUCGUAUUAAAAAGCAAUACCAUGGGACUGGGGAUGCCCCAAGGAUUUUUCUCCUUGAACAAGGGAGCUAUGACAUUCUCAGCACGGCACCCACCCUCUGAAUGACGAGGGUCUAAUGAUGUGACAUUCAGCUCAUAAGAGGAGUCUGAUUUUCCUCAAAUAAUUCCGCUUGACUGUAUGACUGGGGAACUAUCAGGUUUUCAAAAUAAAAUGGAGCACAGCUUUUGCAGGAUGCUUUCCCUGCAAGCCUGGAUUUAUGAAAUACAUAGGAAAUAAGAGUAUGAAGCUGGCUGCCUUCUGCAAAUAAUACACAACAGAAAAAAUAAACAAACCUUAACUUGUCCAACACACUUGAGAGCCACAAAUUUCCUUACUGUUUCACUAAAGGAGAGGACAACUUCUUUCCUCCAUAAAACCGUCCUUUCAGACAUUACUACAGUCAUGACCUCACUGUGGUUCCUGGAUUCUUUCUGAAAAAAUGAAAUGAAUAAUACACCAGUGAUCUCAUCAAAGUGUAAAGGACAUCUUAUACAGGAGGAGAAAGAAUAUCUGGAGAACCUCAGUGCUCCAUCUGCAUAAAGACAGUAGAAAAGGGACUGUAACAUUGGAGAGAAUGAAAGAUUCAAUGCCAGAGAUGCAUUUUUCCAUCUUAUAAACAAUUAGGAUUCAUCUUACAUAUCACACUUGCCAUCCUUCUAGCUGUCCCUACAGGUGUUCUUUUUUCUCCUGCCUUUAUCAAUACUUCUCUUGUCUCUUCUGUGCUUUUCAUACAUGUUUUAACAUACUUGCUUACUCUUUGAAUCAUACACACUACUGUUCUCAACUACACUCAAAAUACAUUUUUAGGAUAUAACACAGUGCUGCUACACAAAUAUUCAUAAACUUCAUUCAUAGCUUAGAUAAUUCUGGCUAAGGACAUGUUUCUUCAUGUUCAUAUAGUUCUGAGGCCAAGGAGUCCUGGGUUAUGGCAGCUCCCAUCUAUUUUGGGGCCCUGGCAGUAAUCGGGAGGGCAGGCAGGGAGAGAUGCUUUGUUUUCUUCGGUUGGACUAUCUAUGAAAGAGUAUUGGUAACUGACAAUUCCAACCACGUUUUUCAAGCUGAGGCUGAAAACAAGAAAAUCUGCAGAAUCCGAGUACAGCAUUCAUGAUGCAAUCUUAUCUCUUGCACCCACAGGUGCACCUCACUCUGGCCUGAGAUGACACGUUAAGGGAUGCAACGACAAACCGGUUCCCUCACGCCACAGCUGAGUGUCACAUAGCUGCCCUGGGUACGUGUCAGUGCUCUGCCACAUCUCUGCUCCUCUAGGAGCAUAGCGCCAGCACAACCUUUUCCUAUCCCAUCACCAUUGCCCACCUCUUGAUUGCUGCAGGCUUGGCAGGAGUAGACAAACCUAUACCUUCCUAUCCUCAGCACUGCUCAGCCAGAAAAAAGCCAUAGGGCUUUCCCUGCAGGGGAAAGCUUUAGCCAAACCAUCACUUCUGCCAAAGGAAUGAGGAAUUCCUUGAGGUAGGCUUCCUUGGAUGCAAGUAAUUCUUCCCAAGCUAAAGCAGGGUUAUAGCUGAUACAUCUGAGUCACAAUGUGGAUUUGCACUUUACCUGUUAAACAUAACUAGUUUGUGUCCAAAAUACAGGUUCUAUUCCUAACAUCGCUUACAUCUUCACAACUUCUACAUGAGCUGUAGAUGUGACAAGCUGAGUGUCUGAGACUUCUCUCACAGUCAGCAGGAGAGCAACAUGUAAAAUACCUGUUUUUCAGAGGUGAGGUCACCAGCAUCCCCACUGGUACAUCUGCUUUGCUGAAUAAAACUCUAGAGAUUUGCAAAACUCCAAAGUGCCUAAAUUGAGUUCACUGGGCCCACACAAGAUAUCAUUUGAUCUACUCAUUUAAUAGCAGGAUUAUUCCAAAAUCUUUGGGAACGAUGGAAAUUCUGUGGACUCCAGUCUCUGCUUUCCAUUAUGGAAGAUGUUUGUGCAACAGGUUUGCUGAGGAUGGAACACUAAUGAAAAGGGUAAUUUUAUAAACUCAUCGGGGAGGGUAAGUGUCCAGCAGAAAAGAAGUCACACAGAGAUGCAGAAAUUAGUCUGCUUGAAACAAAUAAACUAAGGAAUGCCUGCUAAGGAGUUGUGAAUUUCUUUAAAACUGUUACCACACAUGGAACACUUCUUUUUUUCCCUAAAUCACCUACAGAAACUCUGCAGCUGAAGAUGUUUUGAUAGCAGUUAUGAUCAGAACACCACCACUUCUCAUACGUGAAAUACAACAUUGGGAAGGAUUUUUCCGCUCCUCAAAUCACUCUUCUGAGGCUUUAUAUCAAUCUCAAGCAAUUUGCCUAGCCAUUUCUAUGAUAAAAUAGGUGUUUUUAUCCAUUUAGAAGAGCAAUAAAACUAAGGAAAAUUCAGGCAGAACAUGCUCUUUCUUUAGAGCUUCAACUCAGAUAGUAAGAAUCUGGUUUGUGCCGUACUUCUCUCAUGAACUCAACUUUCCAUAGUGCAUUAAGUGUUGUAAUAAUGCAAAUCAAAUACAAAUUUUAAUAACUCCUUCCAUUAAAAUGAUCUAUUAAAGUUUUAAGAGUCCAACACUUAUGAGCAUUAUUCUAAUUGCAUGAUUUUGCUCGGGGCAGGUUUUACAGAUCUGCCUGAUCAUUGGAUAUUUGCACAUUUAGGAUUAUUUUAAAUUAAUUUUUGGAAGAGUUUCAGUCUCAGUAGCAACAGUUAUUUAAUAGUUGUCUUGUGGGUAACUACGCAUCUGCUUCCACAUGGGAAAAAAAGACUACAUACAUUUAGAAGUCUGGGAAAGGAGGUGGCAGAGGUUUAUAGAAUGACAAGCAAUAUGA